CCCAGGGAUUGGCUGCCCGCAGAGCGGUAGUAGGAAGGGGGAGUUGGCGCCGAGAGUGCAGCGGGGACGGAGAGGAGAAGAGCAGCUAUAGCGCUAGAGAGCCCCGCGGUGUGCCCUGACUACCCACGGGGAACGGAGGGGCUAGAGUCCGGCGCAGGAGAGGAGAGCCGCGGGCGGGAGCCGGAGAGACCAGUGUGUAAGCUGCCGCCAGCCGCCCGGAGAGUGACGUCACGCCCGGCCACCGGGCAAAGGGAGACACGCUGCCGCUGGCCGCCCGGGACGCACUGCCCCUUCUGCCGGAGCCAACACUGCCGCUGAAGAGGCAGGACACACGGCGCUGCUGCGGGCUGAAGGAGUGGCGCGCGGUGCGCUACUGAGAAGGGGCAACGCUGCGAGAGCUGGACAGACAGAUGGAGGGGAGAGGAAACAUCCACAACAAGCAGUUCCCUGCAAGUGUUGAAGAGUGGCAAGCCAACUGGGAGGAAUUUGAAAACAGGUGGAAUUUCCCUAAUUGUGGUGGAGCCAUCAAUGGGAAACACAUCCACAUUAACACACAUGUCGACAGCGGAUCGAUGUACUUAAACUACAAGGGGUACUUUAGCAUCAUUCUGAUGGCACUGGUAAAAUCAAACUACGAGUUUCUCUUCGUUGCUGUUGGUAAGAAUGGCCGGCCCGCAGAUGGUGGCUCCAAAAAGACUGCCUUUUAUAAGACACUUAACUCAAACCAGAUGAACUUGGGCCCUCAUUCCGAGUUGUUCGGUCGCAAGGCGAAUUUAGCAGAGUUACACACGCUAAGCCGCCGCCUACUGGGAGUGAAUCUUAGCUUCUUAAAAUUGCGACCGAUGUAUUCACAAUAUUGCGAUUACUAACUACUUAGCAGUUUCAGAGUAGCUCCAGACUUACUAUGCCUGUGCGAUCAUUUCAGUGCUUGUCGUUCCUGGUUGACGUCACAAACACACCCAGCGUUCGCCCAGGCACUCCCACCGUUUCCCCGGCCACUCCUGCGUUUUUUCCGGAAACGGUAGCGUUUUCAGCCACACGCCCCUGAAACGCCGUGUUUCCGCCCAGUAACACCCAUUUCCUGUCAAUCACAUUACGUUCGCCGGAGCGAAGAAAAAGCCGUGAGUAAAAAUACUUUCUUCAUAGUAAAGUUACUUGGCGCAGUCGCAGUGCGAACAUUGCGCAUGCGUACUAAGCGGAUUUUCACUGCGAUGCGAUGAAAAAUACCGAGCGAACAACUCGGAAUGAGGGCCUUGGCUUCUAGAGGAGGAACAACACAUGGCCUCAAUUUUCAGAACACUCAAACAAGCCAGUAUAGGACAAUGGUCACAGCAGCAGCACUGGAAGAGGAAGAGGAGGAUUCACCUAUGUCUUCCCUGCAAGCACCUUCUCUCCUCUCCAAGGGGACUGCUCGUGCAAACCAGGUGAGAGAGAAGUACCUGGCCUAUUUUAAUGGCAUAGGCGCAGGCAGGAGACCGCAAUAAAGUCACGUGCGUGGUGUGUGGUGGAUUGGGGGCAAUUAAAGUGUCAAUGACUAAAUACGGACUGCAAAGCUUCACCCGUUUCACUCUCCGCUGCGUCUGGCCAUGGGAUGGAGGAGAAUCCACUCCUUGUUGGGUUUGCCUCAUCGAGGAAGGACAACUGGCUGUAAUACCAUAAUGUAGGCGUAUAGAUUUGGUCAGUGCCUGCCUCGGACCGCUUCAAAUCUCUUGCUUUUUCUGUUCUUUUUGUAGACUGAGCGGAGGUUGUGCCAUCGUUAUUUAACCCACUCCAAAUCAGCUGCCGUAAGAAUGGCUUGCUAAAUUCCACCAGCUCCUCAUUGACGGAAAGGCGUUUGGCCUUAUUGGAGUAGUCCUUCGACUUAACUUUCCAUAAGCAUUCCUUGGAUUAUACCAGCUCAAUGAAGCCAGUGAUGAAAUCCACAUUUUUGUCAAGAGACAUAUCUGCAAAAAAGGAGCCAGGCAGAAAAAAAAAUCUGUUUUAUUACUUUGUUAUGUAGAAAGUUUGUUGUUUAUGGUUAAUGUUGUUAAAAUUGUAAAAAAGAAAGUUUGGAUGGAAAUAAAUGUGUCAUUAAUUA